GCGGAACAACUAGGGGGCGGAGCAAACACCUGGCCACACCGGCAGCUAAUCCCACAGACACCUAGUGCGUGCGCCCUGCCCAGUGAGGCUAGCGACUAUCUCAAGAGAAUAGCCAGCUGGCUGUAAACAUGGCUGAGAAUGAUCCAUCCUCAGAGCAGCAAAGGACCACAUGGACACUAAGCUCCUAAGGUAGGACUUACACCAGAAAGAAGCAUCUGCCAAUGCCGGUCCCAUGAGGUACCAAGGAACCCUCUCUCCUGCAGGCACCUCGUAGAUACGUAGGAGCGGUGUGAGGAAUUUUGGAGAAGCAACUAUGUACCCUGGUUGGUCAGAAUUGUCCUCAACACAUUUUUUUCUGGAACACACAGGUUCCCCAUGCCACCAGGGAGUCCCCCUGGGGGCCAAGAUGAGGCUGAGGAGCUCCAGGAGACAGAAUGGGAGAUACUUACUAAGACACAUCAGCUUUGAGCUGCCGCCAAGCCACAUGGACCUUGGAGGUUAGGAGUGAGGGUCCCACCCUUUCCUCCCAGAAAAACACACAGCCAAUGCUCUGAGAACCGUGGGACCCUCACUGACAGGCAAUGAAGCUCCAUGACCUCAGGAACUCCAUGAGAAGAGGCAUUUCUGACUUCAUGGUGCCCUCCUUCCAGAAGAUAACUGCCACCCUUGUGAGAGCAUGGUGGCAAGGGGAAGCAAAGGCAGUGGUGAGAUCUUGGAGACAAUAUAGGUGAGGAAUAGAACAUGGGGGUAUCGUGAUCCACAUGGGAAGCGAGACACACAGCGUAAGUGUGUGGGGAAGACUGACAGGCCAGUGUGUGACCCAUGGAGGGGGUCAGUCCCUGAGACUUGCUUCCACACAAGGGUGUGUGUCUGGUUGAAUUGCAGUGCUCCUACCUAUGUCUAUCCUGUGACCCAAGGCAGACCCAUGGCUACUUCUACAGUGAGUUAUCAAUUGGAAGACUGCUUCCCUGACCCUAUGGCUGGCUGGCUGUUUGUGCUGGGCCCUGUGUUCCCUUCUUCCUCAGCACCACCGCUGCGUCUCAGGUGUUCCCUGAACACCUGCUCAAGUCCACCCCAACUGUGAUACUUCAGUGGCACCUUAAACCUACUCAUUCAGACAUGAUCGUGUCUACCCAUGACUGCGGCUGCGGGAGGAAGGAGAGGAGGGUCACAGUCCUGUACAGAUCCCAGGGGACACCAUGCCUGCUUCUGGCCUCUGGCCCAGCUGAGUAGUGUCACCGCUUGGCUCCAGGCCACUCUGCAGACUCUCUGGACUUCGGCAGCUUCCUUCUCAAGGGCAGACGUGGGAGCUGUUUCGGAGGUGGCACAACCUUGAGUGUGUGUGAAGGCUGCUGCACACAGCAAAGUUCUGCCCCUGGUGUGAGGAUUGGGUGGAGGGAACAGGGGAAAUGAGCAGUAAAUGAGGGCGCUUGAGGAUGCUUCUGUUCUGGAAACUAUUCAGAGAUCCUUUCAGGACUAGUUUGCAAACCAUGGGCACCAGUAACUAUCACAGUGGGAGAUAGGGCCUUAGCCAUAUCAAAUCUUUGUCCAGCUCCUCCUGUGAGCCAGUGCUCAUUCAGUCCUUAUCUGCCCAUUCAUUCAUUCAUAUUCAUUCAUUCAUUCAUUCAUAUACAUUCAUUUACUCAUUCAUUUAUUCACUAAUUCACUGAUUCAAUCAUUCAUUCACUCCAAUUUUUUUUCAUUCUAUCAUCAUGCAUCCUUGGAGCUGCCCUGUAUUGAGGCAGACACAUCUGAAAUACAAAUGACUCAAGCACAAAAUGGGUUCCUGUCUGGUCAAUGUCCAGUGUGGGGAGUGCCCCAAACCCUCUCCAUCUUGCCCAUUCUCUGUGUGUCCCUGAGAGAAGGUGGGCAGAGCUUAGUGGGGAUGGCUACUUUAAGGGAUGUUAGAUGUUCACAGAGCAUUUUCCCCUGUGAAGUCUGUCAUGUUUCAGUACACAUUUCAGUUUCAUAAUAAAUAGACGGAUGCUCAAAUAUUGCAUUGCUUCUCCCCCAAUGAUAGACUUUGUGUAAUUAUUUCUGUCGUCAACCUGAGUUGACACAGUAAUUGGGAAACCAGCUGGAUACUGUUCAUAAGGAAAGUUAAUUAAUUAAAUUUUAAACUAUUUUUUAUUCCCUUCCUUUUUUAAAAAAAUGGUUAAAACUAAUUAAUAUAUGUGUAUGAUAAAUUUUAAGCAGGAUAAAGGUGAUAAAAAAAACUGGAGACAAUCUUUCUCUGCCCUAUCUUACACAUGUAGUCUUUCAGAAAAUGAUUUUCA
ensembl:lncRNA